AUAAUAAGUAAUAGUUUGAAUUUUCUGAUGUACAAAAUUAGUUAGGAGAACACUGCAAUGGAAAUACAAUGCAAGCCACAGAUGCCAUUUUAAAUUUUCUAAAGCAUAUUAAGUAGAAACAGAUAGAAGCAAUUUUAAUAAUAUAUUUUUAAGGCCGGGCACAGUGGCUCACGCCUGUAAUCGCCAGAGGCCACCCUACUGGGCAGUGCAGAAUUAGAAUAUCUUGCCUUUCCGUGGGUCAGAAAUCUGAAACUCUAAAUCAAAGAAUAUUACAAAAUAUAUUCUAUGCUAUAGCAUUCUUUUGUUGGCAAUCAAGAAGGUGAAAAUACAAUUCUGUGGGAUGGAGAUAUUAUUUUAAGUUGAAUACAAGAAUACUUGAAAAGAUAU
rnacentral:lncRNA from 1 species